rnacentral:rRNA from 1 species
AGUGAACGCUGGCGGUAGGCCUAACACAUGCAAAUCGAACGGCAGCACAGUAAGAGCUUGCUCUUACGGGUGGCGAGUGGCGGACGGGUGAGGAAUACAUCGGAAUCUACUUUUUCGUGGGGGAUAACGUAGGGAAACUUACGCUAAUACCGCAUACGACCUACGGGUGAAAGCAGGGGAUCUUCGGACCUUGCGCGAUUGAAUGAGCCGAUGUCGGAUUAGCUAGUUGGCGGGGUAAAGGCCCACCAAGGCGACGAUCCGUAGCUGGUCUGAGAGGAUGAUCAGCCACACUGGAGCUGAGACACGGUCCAGACUCCUACGGGAGGCAGCAGUGGGGAAUAUUGGACAAUGGGCGCAAGCCUGAUCCAGCCAUACCGCGUGGGUGAAGAAGGCCUUCGGGUUGUAAAGCCCUUUUGUUGGGAAAGAAAAGCAGCAGGUUAAUACCCCGCUGUUCUGACGGUACCCAAAGAAUAAGCACCGGCUAACUUCGUG